CGCAAAAAAUUUAUUUGGAUUUGAGAAAAGGGAACAACAUUCUCAGAGUUUUUCUUCUUUAACUCUAAAAAUUAAAAAUAAUAAUAUCAGUGGUUUUUAUAAAGGAAUUACUAUAGUUAAAAAGGCUGAAAAGAAAAAAUAUGAUGAUUUGUUUCAAGAAAGAAAGUGACUUACUUCAAAACGUCAUUUUAAAAUUUUUAUUCUUUAAUGAUAUUCUGGUGUUAUUACCAAAUGUUUAGCAGUAUGAAACCUAUAAUAUUAUAUACCAUACUAUAUACCCUAUUUUACUUAUAAAGUUAAUAAUCUGUAAAGUAAUUUGUAAAAAUUUUUUAAUUGUAAAAUUGCUACAUAAGAAGACAAGUUGUUAGAUGAAAUUCAAAUAUUUUCUAUGUUUGUGUUGUGUAGGUCAAAAAAUAAUAAACAAAGAUGACCAAGAGAUUCAUUUAAGACACAUCAAUCUUCAUCAUCUUUAAAUAAAAAGGAUAAACAUUAUGGAUUUCCAUUAUCUCAAGCAAGAAUUGUCAGAUUUCCUUCUAUUAGAAACAAAGAGUUCAAAGUAUUGGUGGUAAGAACUGUCAAAAACUUGUGAUAGCUAUGAUGAAGAGUUUUAUGACAAAUUCACU